GGUCAAGAUAUUAAGGGUACAUGGUGGAUGCCUAGGCGUUCAGAGGCGAUGAAGGACGUGGAUGGCUGCGAUAAGCCCCGGGGAGCUGUCAAACAAGCUUUGAUCCGGGGAUUUCCGAAUGGGGAAACCUGUCGUCACCAAAUACGUGGCGUCACUGACGCGUGAAUUCAUAGCGCGUGAGAGUCAACCCAGGGAACUGAAACAUCUCAGUACCUGGAGGAAAGGAAAUCAACCGAGACUCCGUGAGUAGCGGCGAGCGAAAGCGGAUAUAGCCCAAACCGGACCUUGUGUCCGGGGUUGUGGAGUCCUCGAGGAGUUACAAAGGCGCGGCAAGCAGAACGGCAUGGAAAGGCCGACCACAGCGGGUGACAGUCCCGUAUGCGAAAUCCGUAGCCCUCCGUUGAGAGGACCACCAGAGUAGCACGGAUGCCGUGGAACUCCGUGUGAAGCAGGGGGGCCCACCCUCCAAGGCUAAGUACUCCUGAACGACCGAUAGUGAACAAGUAUGGCGACUGAAAGGUGAAAAGUACCGCAAUAAGCGGAGUUAAAAGUACCUGAAACCAUGUAUCUACAAGCAGUCGAAGACCUAUGCCCGCCUUCGGGUGGGAAUGGUCGACGGCGUACCUUUUGCAUAAUGGACCGGCGAGUUACUCCUCUGUGGCAAGGCUAAGCCGUUCAGCGGUGGAGCCGAAGCGAAAGCGAGUCUGAAUAGGGCGAUUGAGUCGCAGGGGGUAGACCCGAAACUGAGUGAUCUACCCAUGGGCAGAAUGAAGCGUCUCUAACCGGACGCGGAGGUUCGAAGCCGUAAACGUUGAAAAGUUUUGGCAUGACCUGUGGGGAGGAGUAAAAGUCUAAUCAAACUCAGAGAUAUCUGGUUCUCCCCGAAAAUGCUCUAGGGCAUGCCUCAGGCCACUACGUUACGGGGGUAGAGCUACUGAAUGGAUCGCGGGGGCCACCAGCCUACCGCCUCCAAUCAAACUCCGAAUACCGCGACGACUACCCCGGGAGAAAGUCUGCGGGUGAUAACGUCCGUGGACAAAAGGGAAACAACCCUGACCGCCAGCUAAGGUCCCAAAUUGCCCCUGAGUGCGUAAGGACGUUGGAUUUCUAUGACAGCGGGGAUGUUGGCUUAGAAGCAGCCACCAUUUAAAAAGUGCGUAAUAGCUUACCCGUCGAGAAAUCCGGCACCGAUAAUGAACGGGACUAAGGGGCAAACCGAAGCUGCGGGAGCAGAGAAUGAUGAAUGAUGGAUUGAGGAUGUAGAGACGAGGCCCUGGGAUUUCGAUCCCGGGGCGCGUUGGGGUUCUUGGAUUCCGAUCGUUCACAAUUCUUCAUUCAUCAUUCUUUGCUCGGUAGGGGAGCGCUGUUGGGCAGAUACGAGGCGUACCGUAAGGAGCGCUGUUGGGCCCAACAGGUGCGUAUGCCGGUUUGAGUAACGAGAAAGAGGGUGAAAAUCCCUCUCGCCGUAAGCCUAAGGUUUCCUGGGGAAGGUAGAUCCGCCCAGGGUUAGUCGGAACCUAAGGCGAGGCCGAAAGGCGUAGUCGAUGGACGGCAGGUUAAUAUUCCUGCACUCCGCACUGCGAUUGAAGCGUUCGUGCGUUUUUCCUAGGCGCAGCCCACCACUAGACGCGAGGGUUCCCGAGAGGGCGAGGCCGAUUUGUUGCUGAAGUGCGUGGCGGAAGAACCGAGAAAAGCGAACGUGGACAAAGCGCGGAACCGUACUAAAACUGACACAGGUAGGCGAGGAGUGUAUCCUCAGGCGCUCGAGAGAACGGUCCUUAAGGAAUUAGGCAAAUUCACCCCGUAACUCCGGGAGAAGGGGUCCCGUCCCGCUUUGGAUUUAUCUUUUGCGGGCGGGCGCAGAGAAUCGGCAGCGGCGACUGUUUACCAAAAACACAGGACUCUGCUAACUCGCAAGAGGAUGUAUAGAGUCUGACGCCUGCUCGGUGCGGGAAUGUUAAGGAAGCAGGUUAUCGGCUUCGGCUGAGAAGCUUGCGACUGAAGCACCCGUAAACGGCGGCCCUAACUAUGAGGGUCCUAAGGUAGCGAAGUUCCUUGUCGGGUAAGUUCCGACGCGCAUGAAUGGCGAAACGACUGCUGCACUGUCUCAAGGACCGACUCGGUGAAAUAGGACUUGUGGUGAAGAUACCACAUACCCGCGGCAAGACGGAAAGACCCCGUGAACCUUU
rnacentral:rRNA from 1 species